GACCGUGCGAAGGUAGCAUAAUCAUUUGCCUUAUAAUUGGAGGCUCGUAUGAAUGGUUUAACAAGAAUAAAGCUGUCUCUUUAUAAUUAAAUAUAAUUUUAUCUGCAGGUGAAGAAGCCUGUAUUGGAUUGAAAGACAAGAAGACCCUAUCGAGCUUGAGAAAAAUUAAUAAAUCUCAGACCCAUAUUUAUACUGAACAAAUUAUUAAAUACUUUAGUUGGGGCGACCAAGGAACAAAAGAAGCUUCCUUGCUACAUAGAAGCAAGCUAGCAGCGAUCCAGACAUUUUGAUUAAAGAAAUUAGUUACCGUAGGGAUAACAGCAUUAUCUUUUUUAAGAGCCCAAAUCGAAAAAAAGGUUUGUGACCUCGAUGUUGGACCAGAAUAUCCCGAAGAUGUAGCCGUCUUCAAAGGUUGGUCUGUUCGACCAUUAAAAUUCUACGUGAUCUGAGUUCAGACCGGCGUGAGCCAGGUCAGUUUCUAUCUUCAAUUUUUUAUAUGAGCUUAGUACGAAAGGAUCAGCUUGCAAUAAGAAUUAUAUCUGUUUGAUGAAGUAUAAAGAGAAAUUUAAUAAGAUUAUAGUAACUUUAUAAUCAGAUUAGCAAAGAUAAUGCAAUUGACUUAGGAUCAAUAGACAUAGGUGAAAAUCCUUUAUCUGAUAGGAUAUAGAGAUGGCAGACAAA
rnacentral:rRNA from 1 species